GCCUAACACAUGCAAGUCGAGGGGCAUCGGGGCGAGGAGCAAUCCUUGCCGCCGGCGACCGGCGCACGGGUGAGUAACGCGUAUGCGACCUGCCCGUUGCAGGGGGAUAAUCGGGAGAAAUCCCGUCUAAUACCGCGUAAUGCCGCGGGGCUGCAUGGCCCUGCGGCCAAAGGAAGCGAUUCCGGCAACGGAUGGGCAUGCGUGACAUUAGCUAGUUGGCGGGGCAACGGCCCACCAAGGCGACGAUGUCUAGGGGUUCUGAGAGGAAGGUCCCCCACACUGGUACUGAAACACGGACCAGACUCCUACGGGAGGCAGCAGUGAGGAAUAUUGGUCAAUGGGCGCGAGCCUGAACCAGCCAAGUCGCGUGAGGGAUGACGGCCCUACGGGUUGUAAACCUCUUUUGUCGGGGAGCAAAUUCCGCCACGUGUGGCGGAGUCGAGAGUACCCGAAGAAAAAGCAUCGGCUAACUCCGUGCCAGCAGCCGCGGUAAUACGGAGGAUGCGAGCGUUAUCCGGAUUUAUUGGGUUUAAAGGGUGCGUAGGCGGACUGUCAAGUCAGCGGUAAAAUACGGGGGCUCAACCUCCGCCCGCCGUUGAAACUGACGGUCUUGAGUGGGCGAGAAGUAUGCGGAAUGCGUGGUGUAGCGGUGAAAUGCAUAGAUAUCACGCAGAACUCCGAUUGCGAAGGCAGCAUACCGGCGCCCAACUGACGCUGAAGCACGAAAGCGUGGGUAUCGAACAGGAUUAGAUACCCUGGUAGUCCACGCAGUAAACGAUGAAUACUAGCUGUCCGGGGCGAAUGAGCCCUGGGUGGCACAGCGAAAGCGUUAAGUAUUCCACCUGGGGAGUACGCCGGCAACGGUGAAACUCAAAGGAAUUGACGGGGGCCCGCACAAGCGGAGGAACAUGUGGUUUAAUUCGAUGAUACGCGAGGAACCUUACCCGGGCUCAAACGACACAGGAACGUACCUGAAAGGGUUCGGCUCUACGGAGCCUGUGUCGAGGUGCUGCAUGGUUGUCGUCAGCUCGUGCCGUGAGGUGUCGGCUUAAGUGCCAUAACGAGCGCAACCCCCAUCGACAGUUGCUAACAGGUCAGGCUGAGGACUCUGUCGAGACUGCCGGCGCAAGCUGCGAGGAAGGCGGGGAUGACGUCAAAUCAGCACGGCCCUUACGUCCGGGGCGACACACGUGUUACAAUGGCAGGUACAGCGGGAAGCCACCUGGCGACAGGGAGCGGAACCCGAAAGCCUGUCUCAGUUCGGAUUGGAGUCUGCAACCCGACUCCAUGAAGCUGGAUUCGCUAGUAAUCGCGCAUCAGCCACGGCGCGGUGAAUACGUUCCCGGGCCUUGUACACACCGCCCGUCAAGCCAUGGAAGCCGGGGGUGCCUGAAGUG
rnacentral:rRNA from 1 species